rnacentral:rRNA from 1 species
AACGAACGCUGGCGGCAGGCCUAACACAUGCAAGUCGAGCGAAGCCUUCGGGCUUAGCGGCGGACGGGUGAGUAACGCGUGGGAACGUGCCCUUUGGUACGGAAUAGCCCCGGGAAACUGGGAGUAAUACCGUAUGUGGUCGAGAGACGAAAGAUGUUAUCGCCAAAGGAUCGGCCCGCGUUGGAUUAGGUAGUUGGUGGGGUAAUGGCCUACCAAGCCGACGAUCCAUAGCGGGUUUGAGAGGAUGAUCAGCCACACUGGGACUGAGACACGGCCCAGACUCCUACGGGAGGCAGCAGUGGGGAAUCUUAGACAAUGGGGGAAACCCUGAUCUAGCCAUGCCGCGUGAUCGAUGAAGGCCUUAGGGUUGUAAAGCUCUUUCGCCCGUGACGAUGAUGACGGUAACGGGAGAAGAAGCCCCGGCUAAUUCCGUGCCAGCAGCCGCCGUAAUAC